rnacentral:rRNA from 1 species
AUGAACCAGCCGGUGCAGAAGAACACCCCCUACAUAGGUACACGGUGGGAGGAGGGGGAGAGAAGAUCGUGCAUGCGGUGUUCGUGCUGUUCAGGGAGAUCAAGGCCGCUCGACCAGGCCACGCAGAAGCACUGCUCCUUUGGGUUCUUCACGUUCCUGGAGCGCGAGAACACCGCCACCGCCAUGGACAACAUGGAUGGCGCCGAGUUCUUCGGCCGCGUCCUCACCGUGAACUACGCCUUCCCUGAGAAAAUCAAGGGAGGGGAGCAGGGAUGGGCCGCGCAGCCAGUUCAAAUU